rnacentral:lncRNA from 1 species
GAACGGCCGCAUUUGUGCCUAGUAAUUGGAGUCGAGUGGCCCAAAGUCUUGGGAAAAGAAACAAAAAUACCAAGAGAGAAUGUAAAUGAAUCUUAUCAUAAAGCAGUUAAAUGCUUGGGGGGUUGACGAUUAAGGACAAACGUCAAUAAAUACACAAGAAGACAAAUUAGUUGUUCAUUAAUGACAAUGGCUGCUGUUACAUUCAAAAUUGGCAAUGGCUAUCAGUACGAGGUUACAAGAGAAAAGUUAAUACGAAGUUACAAAA